UCUUCUGAUUUAGCGGCGGACGGGUGAGUAACACGUGGGCAACCUACCUAGUAGAUUGGGAUAACUCCGGGAAACCGGGGCUAAUACCGAAUAAUCCAUUUUGUCACAUGGCAAAAUGCUGAAAGGCGGUUUCGGCUGUCACUACUAGAUGGGCCCGCGGUGCAUUAGCUAGUUGGUGGGGUAAUGGCCUACCAAGGCAACGAUGCAUAGCCGACCUGAGAGGGUGAUCGGCCACAUUGGGACUGAGACACGGCCCAAACUCCUACGGGAGGCAGCAGUAGGGAAUCUUCCACAAUGGACGAAAGUCUGAUGGAGCAACGCCGCGUGAGUGAUGAAGGUUUUCGGAUCGUAAAACUCUGUUGUAAGGGAAGAACAAGUACGUUAGUAACUGAACGUACCUUGACGGUACCUUAUUAGAAAGCCACGGCUAACUACGUGCCAGCAGCCGCGGUAAUACGUAGGUGGCAAGCGUUGUCCGGAUUUAUUGGGCGUAAAGCGCGCGCAGGUGGUUUCUUAAGUCUGAUGUGAAAGCCCACGGCUCAACCGUGGAGGGUCAUUGGAAACUGGGAGACUUGAGUGCAGAAGAGGAAAGUGGAAUUCCAAGUGUAGCGGUGAAAUGCGUAGAGAUUUGGAGGAACACCAGUGGCGAAGGCGACUUUCUGGUCUGUAACUGACACUGAGGCGCGAAAGCGUGGGGAGCAAACAGGAUUAGAUACCCUGGUAGUCCACGCCGUAAACGAUGAGU
rnacentral:rRNA from 1 species